UGCUAUCCAUAAAGUGGUUGACUGCCUC
rnacentral:piRNA from 1 species